rnacentral:rRNA from 1 species
UACGGGGGGGGCAAGCGUUGUUCGGAAUUACUGGGCGUAAAGGGUUCGUAGGUGGCCUGCUAAGUCAGACGUGAAAUCCCUCAGCUUAACUGGGGAACUGCGUCUGAGACUGGGAGGCUUGAGUGCAGGAGAGGAACGCGGAAUUCCAGGUGUAGCGGUGAAAUGCGUAGAUAUCUGGAGGAACACCGGUGGCGAAGGCGGAUCUCUGGGCCAUUACUGACGCUGAGGAGCGAAAGCGUGGGGAGCGAACAGG